UGUGUGUGUGUGUGUGUGUGUGUGUGUGUGUGUGCAACCAGCUGUUGAGUCACUGGUCUGGCUCGGUCUGUAUAAAUGCUCAGGCUAUGAUCUAACUCCUUCGACAUCAGCAGAGAGUGCUACUCCUGAAAGUCCAGACUCUUCAUUCGUCUUUUAGAUAAAUAUCACUCACAUCUGGUCAUGUCACGGCAAGGAAAAGCAAAUUAUACCAAACCAACACAUUAUAAAGGGGAGCAUCUGAACUGGACUGAUUUGAUAGACAGAGCCCAAGGUACUUAUUUGCAUGAGACAUAUCUCAGCAAAAUCAAGAGCCCUCCAAACCCACAAGAGUUUCAUGUGUCUCAUCUAAAACAUGAAACGCAUAAAUUUAGUAUACUAGGAAUCAAGGAAGAUGAAGGCUUCAAGGAUCCAAAAAAAGGCUUGGAUGAUCCAGACAGACUGCCCCUGGUGUGGUUCAGUCUGGCUGUGCAACUCGAACCAGCUAAGGAGGAGCACCUGCAGCAGGAGAAUGUCCAUAUGGUCUGUGACAGCUCUCCAGCCGUCAGUGAGAAGUCCAGGUAUGGAUCAUACCGCUUCACCUUCUUGGUGAAGGAGGUGCUGGAGAAGUACAAGAAGCAGUUUUGUGGUGGGAAGCCGCCCAUCAUGCGUAUUCUCAGAACCUCCCUGUACAGACAGGAAGUGAUGUAUGCUGUGCUGGUCCACAGCCCAAAAGACAAUGGCUUCACAGAGUAUCCCGAGCUGUCUGACGGCCCAAACGCCAUCUGUACUUACAAAGAUGGAUGCUUCAUCUGGAGAUCACAGACCAUGUUUGAGACAAACAUUACGACUCCAAAAGAAAAGCUGAAGCUGAAGAAAAUGUACUUCUCGCAGUCUGUUUGGGAUCACGUCACCAUUGCCCUGCAUGUUGACGGAAAGCCUCUGAAGUUUGGUUCUGAAUUUCUACGAGAAAGGCUCACGUUCCGUGAAAAAGAUAAAGUGAUUGUUGCACCAAGAUGCUAUGAUACUUGUGAUAAUGCUCAACGUUUGGUUAGAAAACUGUGGGACAACGUUGAACAGCAAGAGGAGGAUUUCCAAGAUUUGUCAGAUAGAUGAAAAAGUCUGAAGACUCCCUGCAGCGAGACAGCAGCUUCAGUUUGAACUCUCUGGGUUCUGCAAACUUUUCUUGUUCCUUAUUUUUUAAGAGAAGAAACAUAAAUUGGUGUUGGUGUGGUGAAAGCAUUUACAGGGUUUAAAUUUAAUGUUUUACAUUGUAAUCUUUAGUCAUGCUGAGGCUGUCUGUAAGGCGAUAAAAGUUGAUUAGAUUAAUAGUAGAUGAAAGGUUUAUUUAAUGAACUUCCUGUCGUCACUAAGUGCACAGUAAAAGACAAAUGAUAAAAACCUUUAUGACAAUAUGAGGAGAAACGUGUGAUCAUGUGUGUUAGUGUAGUCUGUCCUGUCUGGGUGUGAUGUGUUCAUAUACCUGAAUUAAGGAGAAAUUAUUUUGUACACAAAAAAUGGACAAUAAAGUUGAUUUGAAAGUGUCUUGUAUGUUCCUAA
ensembl:lncRNA